GCGGGAAGAGCUCAAAUUUGAAAUCUGGUAGCCUUCGGUUGCCCGAGUUGUAAUCUAGAGAAGUGUUUUCCGUGCCGGCCCAUGUACAAGUCCCUUGGAACAGGGCGUCAUAGAGGGUGAGAAUCCCGUCCUUGACAUGGACCCCCGGUGCUUUGUGAUACACUUUCAACGAGUCGAGUUGUUUGGGAAUGCAGCUCAAAAUGGGUGGUGAAUUCCAUCUAAAGCUAAAUAUUGGCGAGAGACCGAUAGCGAACAAGUACCGUGAGGGAAAGAUGAAAAGCACUUUGGAAAGAGAGUUAAACAGUACGUGAAAUUGUUGAAAGGGAAACGAUUGAAGUCAGUCAUGCUCUUGGGACUUACCUCCCUUGAGUGGGGUCAACAUCAGUUUUGAUCGAUGGAUAAAGGCACGGGGAAGGUAGCACUCUCGGGUGAACUUAUAGCCUCGCGUCAUAUACAUUGAUUGGGACUGAGGAACGCAGCAUGCCUUAUGGCCGGGAUUCGUCCACGUACAUGCUUAGGAUGUUGACAUAAUGGCUUUAAACGACCCGUCUUGAACAACGGGACCA
rnacentral:rRNA from 1 species